UACGGGGGGGGGCAAGCGUUGUUCGGAAUUACUGGGCGUAAAGGGCUCGUAGGCGGCCAACUAAGUCGGACGUGAAAUCCCCAGGCUCAACCUGGGAACUGCGUCCGAUACUGGAUGGCUUGAAUCCGGGAGAGGGAUGCAGAAUUCCAGGUGUAGCGGUGAAAUGCGUAGAUAUCUGGAGGAACACCGGUGGCGAAGGCGACAUCCUGGACCGGUAUUGACGCUGAGGCGCGAAAGCCAGGGGAGCAAGCGGG
rnacentral:rRNA from 1 species